UUAAGCGACUAAGCGUACACGGUGGAUGCCCUGGCAGUCAGAGGCGAUGAAGGACGUGCUAAUCUGCGAAAAGCGUCGGUAAGGUGAUAUGAACCGUUACAGCCGGCGAUGUCCGAAUGGGGAAACCCAGUGUGAUUCGUCACACUAUCGUUAACUGAAUACAUAGGUUAACGAGGCGAACCGGGGGAACUGAAACAUCUAAGUACCCCGAGGAAAAGAAAUCAACCGAGAUUCCCCCAGUAGCGGCGAGCGAACGGGGAGCAGCCCAGAGUCUGAAUCAGCUUGUGUGUUAGUGGAACGGUCUGGAAAGUCCGACGGUACAGGGUGAUAGUCCCGUACACCAAAAUGCACAGGCUGUGAACUCGAAGAGUAGGGCGGGACACGUGGUAUCCUGUCUGAAUAUGGGGGGACCAUCCUCCAAGGCUAAAUACUCCUGACUGACCGAUAGUGAACCAGUACCGUGAGGGAAAGGCGAAAAGAACCCCGGCGAGGGGAGUGAAAAAGAACCUGAAACCGUGUACGUACAAGCAGUGGGAGCACCUUCGGGUGUGACUGCGUACCUUUUGUAUAAUGGGUCAGCGACUUAUAUUCUGUAGCAAGGUUAACCGUAUAGGGGAGCCGCAGGGAAACCGAGUCUUAACUGGGCGUUAAGUUGCAGGGUAUAGACCCGAAACCCGGUGAUCUAGCCAUGGGCAGGUUGAAGGUUGGGUAACACUAACUGGAGGACCGAACCGACUAAUGUUGAAAAAUUAGCGGAUGACUUGUGGCUGGGGGUGAAAGGCCAAUCAAACCGGGAGAUAGCUGGUUCUCCCCGAAAGCUAUUUAGGUAGCGCCUCGUGAAUUCAUCUUCGGGGGUAGAGCACUGUUUCGGCUAGGGGGUCAUCCCGACUUACCAACCCGAUGCAAACUACGAAUACCGAAGAAUGUUAUCACGGGAGACACACGGCGGGUGCUAACGUCCGUCGUGAAGAGGGAAACAACCCAGACCGCCAGCUAAGGUCCCAAAGUCAUGGUUAAGUGGGAAACGAUGUGGGAAGGCACAGACAGCCAGGAUGUUGGCUUAGAAGCAGCCAUCAUUUAAAGAAAGCGUAAUAGCUCACUGGUCGAGUCGGCCUGCGCGGAAGAUGUAACGGGGCUAAACCAUGCACCGAAGCUGCGGCAGCGACACUAUGUGUUGUUGGGUAGGGGAGCGUUCUGUAAGCCUGCGAAGGUGACCUGUGAGGGUUGCUGGAGGUAUCAGAAGUGCGAAUGCUGACAUAAGUAACGAUAAAGCGGGUGAAAAGCCCGCUCGCCGGAAGACCAAGGGUUCCUGUCCAACGUUAAUCGGGGCAGGGUGAGUCGACCCCUAAGGCGAGGCCGAAAGGCGUAGUCGAUGGGAAACAGGUUAAUAUUCCUGUACUUGGUGUUACUGCGAAGGGGGGACGGAGAAGGCUAUGUUAGCCGGGCGACGGUUGUCCCGGUUUAAGCAUGUAGGCUGGUUAUCCAGGCAAAUCCGGAUAAUCAAGGCUGAGGUGUGAUGACGAGGCACUACGGUGCUGAAGUAACAAAUGCCCUGCUUCCAGGAAAAGCCUCUAAGCAUCAGGUAACAUUAAAUCGUACCCCAAACCGACACAGGUGGUCAGGUAGAGAAUACCAAGGCGCUUGAGAGAACUCGGGUGAAGGAACUAGGCAAAAUGGUGCCGUAACUUCGGGAGAAGGCACGCUGGUGUGUAGGUGAAGUCCCUGCGGAUGGAGCUGAGACCAGUCGAAGAUACCAGCUGGCUGCAACUGUUUAUUAAAAACACAGCACUGUGCAAACACGAAAGUGGACGUAUACGGUGUGACGCCUGCCCGGUGCCGGAAGGUUAAUUGAUGGGGUUAUCCGUAAGGAGAAGCUCUUGAUCGAAGCCCCGGUAAACGGCGGCCGUAACUAUAACGGUCCUAAGGUAGCGAAAUUCCUUGUCGGGUAAGUUCCGACCUGCACGAAUGGCGUAAUGAUGGCCAGGCUGUCUCCACCCGAGACUCAGUGAAAUUGAACUCGCUGUGAAGAUGCAGUGUACCCGCGGCAAGACGGAAAGACCCCGUGAACCUUUACUAUAGCUUGACACUGAACAUUGAGCCUUGAUGUGUAGGAUAGGUGGGAGGCUUUGAAGCGUGGACGCCAGUCUGCGUGGAGCCGACCUUGAAAUACCACCCUUUAAUGUUUGAUGUUCUAACGUUGGCCCCUUACCGGGGUUGCGGACAGUGUCUGGUGGGUAGUUUGACUGGGGCGGUCUCCUCCCAAAGCGUAACGGAGGAGCACGAAGGUUAGCUAAUCCUGGUCGGACAUCAGGAGGUUAGUGCAAUGGCAUAAGCUAGCUUGACUGCGAGCGUGACGGCGCGAGCAGGUGCGAAAGCAGGUCAUAGUGAUCCGGUGGUUCUGAAUGGAAGGGCCAUCGCUCAACGGAUAAAAGGUACUCCGGGGAUAACAGGCUGAUACCGCCCAAGAGUUCAUAUCGACGGCGGUGUUUGGCACCUCGAUGUCGGCUCAUCACAUCCUGGGGCUGAAGUAGGUCCCAAGGGUAUGGCUGUUCGCCAUUUAAAGUGGUACGCGAGCUGGGUUUAGAACGUCGUGAGACAGUUCGGUCCCUAUCUGCCGUGGGCGCUGGAGAAUUGAGGGGGGCUGCUCCUAGUACGAGAGGACCGGAGUGGACGCAUCACUGGUGUUCGGGUUGUCAUGCCAAUGGCACUGCCCGGUAGCUAAAUGCGGAAGAGAUAAGUGCUGAAAGCAUCUAAGCACGAAACUUGCCCCGAGAUGAGUUCUCCCUGAGACUUUAAGUCUCCUGAAGGAACGUUAAAGACGAUGACGUUGAUAGGCCGGGUGUGUAAGCGCAGCGAUGCGUUGAGCUAACCGGUACUAAUGAACCGUGAGGCUUAACCUU
rnacentral:rRNA from 1 species